GGGUGGGGGGGGGGAGUAUCGAAGAUAAAUGUUUUUCUUGAUAAAAACUUCUCUGAUCCAAGCAUUAAAUAUUAAAAAAAAUUUUACCCAACCUCAAAUAUCAAGUACCCACCCUGGCAAAAAAAAACUUUACAAAGGGAUAACGUUCAGUUGCCACACAUGUCCUUUAGCACUUCUGUGACAUGAGUUUGAUAAAUGCUUGUGCAAUUUUCUGCAAUCUAAAGUUUCAUGUUGUCCGCACAUGCACUUUCUUUGGAGAUUGACAUGUACUACACACGUAAAAACACGCAAGUUGUUACAGAUUUGUAAACAGGUUGUAACAAAGUUGUUGUCAUGACAGUAACAGGGCUUGGUAGAAGUUAAUCCAGCAAGACUACACCAGUGAACUCUAAUAAUAACUGGAAG